rnacentral:rRNA from 1 species
AGAAUCAACGCUGGCGGCGUGCCUCAGACAUGCAAGUCGAACGCGAAAGUCCCCUUCGGGGGUACUCGAGUGGCGAACGGGUGAGUAACACGUGAGUAACCUGCCCUGGACUUUGGGAUAACCCUCGGAAACGGGGGCUAAAUACCGGAUAUGACACGCGGAUGCAUGUUUGUGUGUGGAAAGAUUUUUGGUCUGGGAUGGGCUCGCGGCCUAUCAGCUUGUUGGUGGGUGAUGGCCUACCAAGGCGACGACGGGUA